AGGGGAUUGCCGGGUCCUGGGCUGUGCCCCUGGCACCCUAAGCUCUUGGGCCGGCACCACUGGAAUCGCUCUCCCAGGGCCAAGCAUCCCCCU
rfam:Canis lupus familiaris chromosome 7, whole genome shotgun sequence.